UUAAGCGACUAAGCGUACACGGUGGAUGCCCUGGCAGUCAGAGGCGAUGAAGGACGUGCUAAUCUGCGAAAAGCGCCGGCGAGGUGAUAUGAACCUUUGACCCGGCGAUGUCCGAAUGGGGAAACCCAGUGUGAUUCGUCACACUAUCGUUAACUGAAUACAUAGGUUAACGAGGCGAACCGGGGGAACUGAAACAUCUAAGUACCCCGAGGAAAAGAAAUCAACCGAGAUUCCCCCAGUAGCGGCGAGCGAACGGGGAGCAGCCCAGAGUCUGAAUCAGCUUGUGUGUUAGUGGAAGCGUCUGGAAAGUCGCACGGUACAGGGUGACAGUCCCGUACACGAAAGCACACAGGCUGUGAACUCGAAGAGUAGGGCGGGACACGUGGUAUCCUGUCUGAAUAUGGGGGGACCAUCCUCCAAGGCUAAAUACUCCUGACUGACCGAUAGUGAACCAGUACCGUGAGGGAAAGGCGAAAAGAACCCCGGCGAGGGGAGUGAAAAAGAACCUGAAACCGUGUACGUACAAGCAGUGGGAGCACCUUCGUGGUGUGACUGCGUACCUUUUGUAUAAUGGGUCAGCGACUUAUAUUCUGUAGCAAGGUUAACCGUAUAGGGGAGCCGAAGGGAAACCGAGUCUUAACUGGGCGUUAAGUUGCAGGGUAUAGACCCGAAACCCGGUGAUCUAGCCAUGGGCAGGUUGAAGGUUGGGUAACACUAACUGGAGGACCGAACCGACUAAUGUUGAAAAAUUAGCGGAUGACUUGUGGCUGGGGGUGAAAGGCCAAUCAAACCGGGAGAUAGCUGGUUCUCCCCGAAAGCUAUUUAGGUAGCGCCUCGUGAAUUCAUCUUCGGGGGUAGAGCACUGUUUCGGCUAGGGGGCCAUCCCGGCUUACCAACCCGAUGCAAACUACGAAUACCGAAGAAUGUUAUCACGGGAGACACACGGCGGGUGCUAACGUCCGUCGUGAAGAGGGAAACAACCCAGACCGCCAGCUAAGGUCCCAAAGUCAUGGUUAAGUGGGAAACGAUGUGGGAAGGCACAGACAGCCAGGAUGUUGGCUUAGAAGCAGCCAUCAUUUAAAGAAAGCGUAAUAGCUCACUGGUCGAGUCGGCCUGCGCGGAAGAUGUAACGGGGCUAAACCAUGCACCGAAGCUGCGGCAGCGACGCUUAUGCGUUGUUGGGUAGGGGAGCGUUCUGUAAGCCGUUGAAGGUGGCCUGUGAGGGUUGCUGGAGGUAUCAGAAGUGCGAAUGCUGACAUAAGUAACGAUAAAGCGGGUGAAAAGCCCGCUCGCCGGAAGACCAAGGGUUCCUGUCCAACGUUAAUCGGGGCAGGGUGAGUCGACCCCUAAGGCGAGGCCGAAAGGCGUAGUCGAUGGGAAACAGGUUAAUAUUCCUGUACUUGGUGUUACUGCGAAGGGGGGACGGAGAAGGCUAUGUUAGCCGGGCGACGGUUGUCCCGGUUUAAGCAUGUAGGCGGAGGUUCCAGGUAAAUCCGGUACCUUAUUAACGCUGAGGUGUGAUGACGAGGCACUACGGUGCUGAAGUAACAAAUGCCCUGCUUCCAGGAAAAGCCUCUAAGCAUCAGGUAACAUCAAAUCGUACCCCAAACCGACACAGGUGGUCAGGUAGAGAAUACCAAGGCGCUUGAGAGAACUCGGGUGAAGGAACUAGGCAAAAUGGUGCCGUAACUUCGGGAGAAGGCACGCUGAUAUGUAGGUGAAGCCCCUGCGGGUGGAGCUGAAAUCAGUCGAAGAUACCAGCUGGCUGCAACUGUUUAUUAAAAACACAGCACUGUGCAAACACGAAAGUGGACGUAUACGGUGUGACGCCUGCCCGGUGCCGGAAGGUUAAUUGAUGGGGUUAGCGGCAACGCGAAGCUCUUGAUCGAAGCCCCGGUAAACGGCGGCCGUAACUAUAACGGUCCUAAGGUAGCGAAAUUCCUUGUCGGGUAAGUUCCGACCUGCACGAAUGGCGUAAUGAUGGCCAGGCUGUCUCCACCCGAGACUCAGUGAAAUUGAACUCGCUGUGAAGAUGCAGUGUACCCGCGGCAAGACGGAAAGACCCCGUGAACCUUUACUAUAGCUUGACACUGAACACUGGUCCUUGAUGUGUAGGAUAGGUGGGAGGCUUUGAAGCGUGGACGCCAGUCUGCGUGGAGCCGUCCUUGAAAUACCACCCUUUAAUGGCUGGUGUUCUAACGUAGACCCGUAAUCCGGGUUGCGGACAGUGUCUGGUGGGUAGUUUGACUGGGGCGGUCUCCUCCCAAAGAGUAACGGAGGAGCACGAAGGUUAGCUAAUCCUGGUCGGACAUCAGGAGGUUAGUGCAAUGGCAUAAGCUAGCUUGACUGCGAGAGUGACGGCUCGAGCAGGUGCGAAAGCAGGUCAUAGUGAUCCGGUGGUUCUGAAUGGAAGGGCCAUCGCUCAACGGAUAAAAGGUACUCCGGGGAUAACAGGCUGAUACCGCCCAAGAGUUCAUAUCGACGGCGGUGUUUGGCACCUCGAUGUCGGCUCAUCACAUCCUGGGGCUGAAGUAGGUCCCAAGGGUAUGGCUGUUCGCCAUUUAAAGUGGUACGCGAGCUGGGUUUAGAACGUCGUGAGACAGUUCGGUCCCUAUCUGCCGUGGGCGCUGGAGAAUUGAGGGGGGCUGCUCCUAGUACGAGAGGACCGGAGUGGACGCAUCACUGGUGUUCGGGUUGUCAUGCCAAUGGCACUGCCCGGUAGCUAAAUGCGGAAAAGAUAAGUGCUGAAAGCAUCUAAGCACGAAACUUGCCCCGAGAUGAGUUCUCCCUGAGACUUUAAGUCUCCUGAAGGAACGUUGAAGACGACGACGUUGAUAGGUCGGGUGUGUAAGCGCAGCGAUGCGUUGAGCUAACCGAUACUAAUGAACCGUGAGGCUUAACCU
rnacentral:rRNA from 1 species